rnacentral:rRNA from 1 species
UACGUAGGGUGCAAGCGUUAAUCGGAAUUACUGGGCGUAAAGCGUGCGCAGGCGGUGAUGUAAGACAGUUGUGAAAUCCCCGGGCUCAACCUGGGAACUGCAUCUGUGACUGCAUCGCUGGAGUGCGGCAGAGGGGGAUGGAAUUCCGCGUGUAGCAGUGAAAUGCGUAGAUAUGCGGAGGAACACCGAUGGCGAAGGCAAUCCCCUGGGCCUGCACUGACGCUCAUGCACGAAAGCUGGGGAGCAAACAGG